rnacentral:rRNA from 1 species
AGUGAACGCUGGCGGUAGGCCUAACACAUGCAAGUCGAACGGCAGCACAGUAAGAGCUUGCUCUUACGGGUGGCGAGUGGCGGACGGGUGAGGAAUACAUCGGAAUCUACUUUUUCGUGGGGGAUAACGUAGGGAAACUUACGCUAAUACCGCAUACGACCUACGGGUGAAAGCAGGGGAUCUUCGGACCUUGCGCGAUUGAAUGAGCCGAUGUCGGAUUAGCUGGUUGGCGGGGUAAAGGCCCACCAAGGCGACGAUCCGUAGCUGGUCUGAGAGGAUGAUCAGCCACACUGGAACUGAGACACGGUCCAGACUCCUACGGGAGGCAGCAGUGGGGAAUAUUGGACAAUGGGCGCAAGCCUGAUCCAGCCAUACCGCGUGGGUGAAGAAGGCCUUCGGGUUGUAAAGCCCUUUUGUUGGGAAAGAAAAGCAGCAGGCUAAUACCCCGCUGUUCUGACGGUACCCAAAGAAUAAGCACCGGCUAACUUCGUG